UACGUAGGUGGCAAGCGUUGUCCGGAUUUAUUGGGCGUAAAGGGAGCGCAGGAGGUGACUUAAGUCUGAUGUGAAAGCCCACGGCUCAACCGUGGAAGGUCAUUGGAAACUGGGUCACUUGAAUAUAGAGGAGGAAAGUGGAAUUCCAUGUGUAGCGGUGAAAUGCGUAGAUAUAUGGAGGAACACCAGUGGCGAAGGCGACUUUCUGGUCUAUUAUUGACGCUGAGGCUCGAAAGCAUGGGUAGCAAACAGGAUUAGAUA
rnacentral:rRNA from 1 species